GUUAGCGAAAGGAAACAUCUCAGUUAAUGCAGAUCUGUUGGUUUAAUUCUUUGUGAUGAGCAAAAAACUACAACCCAUUCUGUAAGCUUUUGAUCGACUUUGAAGACACAAUGAUCUUCAUUUCAGCUGAAAAACGACAUUUCGCUUUUUACUUGUCAAUUGGUCUGUUGAGUAUAUCAUUGCUUGCAGGUCAGUACAUUCAUUGAUCUCAUGCCUUGAA